AAGGAUCAUUAACGAAACGUUUGUCGAGAGGGGUUGUAGCUGGCCUCGCUUGGCAUGGUGCACGCCCGGAUCGCAAACUUCAUCCUUCACACCUGUGCACAAUCCCGCGGCUUUGCGACGCUGAUGAUAUGGAAUUCGUUUCCGAUUUGAACGCGUCCUUGGCCUGCGAGCUUUUUAUCACACACGCUCUUUGUCAAGUAUUAGAAUGUCUUAGCGCGUAGAAGCGCGAAACAAUACAACUUUCAGCAACGGAUCUCUUGGCUCUC
rnacentral:misc_RNA from 1 species